GAAGCAGCCGGUUUCUACAGGAUGCGCUCCAGGCGCGGAAGUCUGACCUCAGAAACGUGGGGGAGGGAGUGGAAGCACAUGGGGGUGAAGCCUUCUAAGUCAGCAGCUUCUCUCCUGUAACCGGGUGGCGCGUGCUGGCAGCUGGCUCCUGGGUGUAGUUCUCCGUCUGGCCUCGAGGACUCGCAGGAAGGACGCACAGAUCUGAUCCUGAGAGCGGCCUCAACGCCAGCCCACAGCUGGCCCCACGUUCUGGCCACGGAGGGGCCCUGGAUGCAUGCCUGGAAACACCGCUGGAGGCCACAGCCCACCAGUGUAGACAUCGGCAAAGAGAGAUGUCCCCUGAGCCAGGCUCAGGGGCCGAGGUGCUGACGUGCUCACGUGCCC
ensembl:lncRNA